CACGAAGGACCCGAGCGUUAUCCGGAUUUAUUGGGUUUAAAGGGUGCGUAGGCGGGACGGUAAGUCAGUGGUGAAAUCCUGUUGCUUAACAACGGAACUGCCAUUGAUACUGCCGAUCUUGAGUACAUAUGAUGUGGGCGGAAUGUGCCAUGUAGCGGUGAAAUGCUUAGAUAUGGCACAGAACACCGAUUGCGAAGGCAGCUCACAAAACUGUUACUGACGCUGAGGCACGAAAGCGUGGGGAUCAAACAGG
rnacentral:rRNA from 1 species